GAUGAACGCUGGCGGCGUGCCUAAUACAUGCAAGUCGAGCGAAGCGGGGACGGGUGAGUAACACGUGGAUAACCUCCUAUAAGACUGGGAUAACUUCGGGAAACCGGAGCUAAACCGGAUACUUAUGGGUGGAUCUGCGCUGCAUUGGCUAGUUGGUAAGGUAACGGCUUACCAAGGCAACGAUGCAUGGCCGACCUGGGAGGGUGAUCGGCCACACGGGAACGGAGAGACGGUCCAGACUCCUAGGGGCGGCAGCGGUAGGGAAUCUUCCGCAAUUGGCGAAAGCCUGACGGAGCAACGCCGCGUGAGUGAUGAAGGUAUUCGGAUCGUAAAAUUCUGUUAUUAGGGAAGCGGUACCUAAUCAGAAAGCCCCGGCUAACUACGUGCCAGCAGCCGCGGUAAUUC
rnacentral:rRNA from 1 species